rnacentral:rRNA from 1 species
AGAGUUUGAUCCUGGCUCAGGAUGAACGCUGGCGGCGUGCUUAACACAUGCAAGUCGAACGGGAUCCUGCGGGCUUUGCCUGCGGGUGAGAGUGGCGAACGGGUGAGUAAUGCGUGACCAACCUGCCCCAUGCUCCGGAAUAGCUCCUGGAAACGGGUGGUAAUGCCGGAUGUUCCCGCGCCCCGCAUGGGGUGCGGGGAAAGCUUUUGCGGCGUGGGAUGGGGUCGCGUCCUAUCAGCUUGUUGGCGGGGUGAGGGCCCACCAAGGCUUCGACGGGUAGCCGGCCUGAGAGGGCGACCGGCCACAUUGGGACUGAGAUACGGCCCAGACUCCUACGGGAGGCAGCAGUGGGGAAUAUUGCACAAUGGGCGCAAGCCUGAUGCAGCGACGCCGCGUGCGGGAUGGAGGCCUUCGGGUUGUAAACCGCUUUUGUUUGGGAGCAAGCCCUUCGGGGUGAGUGUACCUUUCGAAUAAGCACCGGCUAACUACGUGCCAGCAGCCGCGGUAAUACGUAGGGUGCGAGCGUUAUCCGGAUUUAUUGGGCGUAAAGGGCUCGUAGGCGGUUCGUCGCGUCCGGUGUGAAAGUCCAUCGCCUAACGGUGGAUCUGCGCCGGGUACGGGCGGGCUGGAGUGCGGUAGGGGAGACUGGAAUUCCCGGUGUAACGGUGGAAUGUGUAGAUAUCGGGAAGAACACCAAUGGCGAAGGCAGGUCUCUGGGCCGUUACUGACGCUGAGGAGCGAAAGCGUGGGGAGCGAACAGGAUUAGAUACCCUGGUAGUCCACGCCGUAAACGGUGGAUG